rnacentral:lncRNA from 1 species
GUUGCAGCACAGCGUGUCACCAGAGAGGAAAAGAAUAUCCUUGCUGUGCCAAGAAAGAAAAGACCAUGGAUCUACUAGUUGCAGAUUUCAGCAGUAAUGCCAAGGGGGCAAGAAGUGACCAGCAGAACAAUUAGGCCAUGGCAACAGAAGCCAACUACAACCCAUGUUCCAAUCUAUGACCUCCCUCUCCUGCUGGUACAAGGAUAUGAUCUGGAGUCUGGGAAGUUCAAGAGCAUGGCACCAACAUCUGGCAAGGGCUUUCAUUCUGCAUCAUCUCAUGGAGGAAAAUAAAAAGAUUCACCACCAUCACUACUCUAAGUAUUUUUCUUCUUGAGAAAGAGAAGGAGAGGGAAAGCAAGGAAGAGGAAGAGAAAGAGAAAUGGAUAAAAACAUGGUCAAGUAGAAGAGUCUGUGAUUUCAGGUAAAUCCAGAUUUGGAGCUUAAAUGACUCAAAUGCUUUGCCUACAUUGAUCCUACAUUCAGGCUGCUUACAUAUCUCUUGGCUUCUCUGAGAACCAG